GACUUUACCGGCAAAAAAUAAGCUUUUGAAAAAAACAUUUUAAACAUUUCAAUUUCCUGAUUGAACAACUUAGAACCACACCUCAAAAAACCGAGAAUCAGCAUAAGUGUGGUUGGUGCUAUACGUUGGUGUUUGAAAGGGCAUUCAGCGAAUACUUUUGCUACUGGAUAUCGACAUUGUUUGGGUACAUUUAAGAACGGAGAUUAAACCCUGCGGACUUUAAUCUGACUGGAUACCCGAAGAAGGAUCAAGACGACGCCGGGAGGCUUGAGCGAAUCAGGACCUGACCUUUGGGGGCGGUGGGUUUGGGGAUUGACCAACUUUGGCUAUCUGAUGCAAGGGAUCUGGAUGCAUCAGGACUAUCCCAAGAGUGAGGGUCACAGAGGCUACCUGUCUUCACCAGCCUGCAGGGCGGCGACAGAGAGCAGGGCGCUGCACCGACAGAACCGGCGGAGCCCAGGAAUGAGCGAGUUCUGGCACAAGAUGGGCUGCUGCGUGGUGGCCAAACCCCCACCGAAGAAGAAGAAGAGGAGGAAGAUUGACUGCAGCAUGAUCGGAGAGCCCACAAACUUUAUGCACCUCACACACAUUGGCUCCGGGGAGAUGGCGGAAGGUUUGCCGCCGUCAGGGUCAGUCCAGGAACAGAUGAGGUCCAAAGGACCCAGCACCAAUGGCAGAAGCAGCCUCUUAUAGCCAACAUAUGGACCGAUCCAAGGACUCGACGUGAGCUCAUUUCCCCCUUCCUCGGACCCAGCCUCAAGCCAAACUUCAUGGACCAACUCUGCAUAUUGCACUUAGGCCCACAAUGACCACCGCAAAUGGCACAAAAAAAUAAAAAAUAAAGAUGACUUAAUUUCCCAGAAUCCCUUUCGUCCCCCAUCAUCCAGUUUCAAAUGGAACAUGACUCUUGCCUUGAAGCGGGAAAGUACCCUGGAUUCUCACUCAGCACUGGGGACUGGACGGGAUUGUGUGUGUGGGCUUUUAGGAGGUAUUUGUUACACUUCAGGCUGCUGGCGGAUACAGAUUUUCCCAUUUGCCUCUGUCUCAAGCAAGGGAUUGUCCGAACAUUUCAUAUUUCACCAACAAGACCGUCUCACAAGUGUGAUACUGCUCUUUCAAUAACGCAAACAAAAGUUUUCUUUGUUCUUGACACGAAGUGGCAUGCAUUUGUGCCCUUUUAAAAGUGUUGUCUGUAAUGAUUAUAAUGCCUUUAUAAGUAGUAAAUGGUGGAAACUGAGCCCAUAUGUUUCCUAUAGUGCCAUGACAAGCAGGCACUUUUCAUAUGUAUUGCUAAAGUGCAGUGGUCAAAUUAAUAUUUAGGUUUUGGAAGCAAAGUUGCUCAAUUGACAAGCAGGAUGUGGCAUCACCCCUGGCUCCACCCGCUACUUGUCUGGAGCAGUUUAAGAUCCAGUCUUAGCAGCACUGUAGACCUACAGGGUGGGAGUGGUCACCGUGUAGGCCUACAGGGUGGGAGUGGUCACUGUGUAGGCCUACUUUGCUAAUGUUUUGGCACUUUGCCCGUUUCACGUGGAUGAUUCUUAGACUAGAAAAAUGAUUUCUCACACACAUGCCACCAUUAGUCACUCAGUCUUCCUUACAAAUGCACGUCAAGUUUUUCAUAGACAACCCUCUCAUAUAUACUUCUACCUUAAGUGUUAUUGCCAAAGUUAUGCCUUUAUAUAUUAGUUUAUUUUUUACCAUGCCUGCUUUAACACCAGCACAUCUGAACACUGGAUAGCACUGGCAGGAAGCCAGCGGCGGUUAAAGCGUUGGGGCAAGUAACCGAAAGGUCGCUGGUUCAAAUACCCGAGCAGGCGAGGUGAAAAAUGUAUCGACGUGCCUUGCUCAUAGGCACUGUACGAUGGCUGAACCUGUAAAACACUGCACCUAUCUGGUGUACGUGACACAAAAAAGAAGAAAUUAAUUACCUUCUGUCAUGUCCCAUAGACUCCCUUUUUGGGGUUUUAAACAAGUUUGUAUGGGGUAGUAGUCUUCUUGCGCAAUCCACUUAUAAGCGCUUGAAAGCUGAAUGUAAGAUGCCGUAACUAAUCUUAAUCGUUUGCCUUUAUCUAAAAACUAAUCUAGUUGGACUGUUAGUUCAGCAGGUUUAUGACGCCAACAUCUCAAAUGUAUCAUAAACUAUGGCAACUUGGCCUUGGUUCUCCUGUUGCAGUGUUCGUCUUAGAAUUGUCCCCUGCCUGUCUAAGCUGAGACAUGCUCAUUCACUUUUGAGCUAUUCUGAAAGGUGACUUUAUGGGCUUUCUGUUUCAAUGGCAAUCUACAGUUCAGGUUAGAGGAAACGGUAAAGCCUAUAGUACUACGGUGAGAAAGUGAUGGCUGAUUUUGCUUUCUGUUAUUUAUCAAGUUAUUUUGCCUCAUUACUGGUAAAUGGACCCGCUGUCAUUGUAUUCAAUAUUACAUUUAGAUGCAUGCCUACUACAGUUCAGGCAAACACUUGCCGUAUGAGAGUAAUUUUUAUUAUUUGUUUUACGACUGCCCUCCAUAUUUUUGUCAGCUGUGGAGCUGGGUUUUUUAGUUUUGUUUUAAGAUUUAUCUCUGACUGAAGAGAUUCCAGGAUGCAAUGUACGUGCUUUCUUUUUUCAGUUGCACUGUUUUCCUAGGUCUCCCUCUUUUAGUUUGAAUUGCACAUGUGUUCCACAGUCAUCCUAUGUGGACGUUGGUGAACAGAUGUGUGAUAGUAGAGGAAGUAUUUCAACUGCCGCAAAUCUGUGUGUUUUCUCCGCUUCUGGGCUUUUUCCCCUCCUGAAAAUACAGUCUAUUUUAUGUAUC